GACGAAGGGGGGCUAGCGUUGUUCGGAAUUACUGGGCGUAAAGCGAGUGUAGGUGGUUGUCCAAGUUGGAUGUGAAAGCCUUGAGCUCAACUCAAGAAAUGCAUUCAGGACUGGGCGGCUAGAGGACCGGAGAGGAUAGUGGAAUUCCCAGUGUAGUGGUGAAAUUCGUAGAUAUUCGCAAGAACACCAGUGGCGAAGGCGGCUCACUGGCCCGAUACUGACGCUGAGGUGCGAAAGCGUGGGGAGCAAACGGG
rnacentral:rRNA from 1 species